AUUGAACGCUGGCGGCAGGCCUAACACAUGCAAGUCGAACGGUAGCACAGAGAGCUUGCUCUUGGGUGACGAGUGGCGGACGGGUGAGUAAUGUCUGGGAAACUGCCCGAUGGAGGGGGAUAACUACUGGAAACGGUAGCUAAUACCGCAUAACGUCUUCGGACCAAAGUGGGGGACCUUCGGGCCUCACACCAUCGGAUGUGCCCAGAUGGGAUUAGCUAGUAGGUGGGGUAAUGGCUCACCUAGGAGACGAUCCGUAGCUGGUCUGAGAGGAUGACCAGCCAACCUGGAACUGAGACACGGUCCAGACUCCUACGGGAGGCAGCAGUGGGGAAUAUUGCACAAUGGGCGCAAGCCUGAUGCAGCCAUGCCGCGUGUAUGAAGAAGGCCUUCGGGUUGUAAAGUACUUUCAGCGAGGAGGAAGGCGGUAAGGUUAAUAACCUUGCCGAUUGACGUUACUCGCAGAAGAAGCACCGGCUAACUCCGUGCCAGCAGCCGCCGUAAAAC
rnacentral:rRNA from 1 species